UACGGAGGGUGCAAGCGUUAUCCGGAUUUACUGGGUUUAAAGGGUGUGUAGGCGGACUUUUAAGUCCGUGGUGAAAUCUCCGGGCUCAACCCGGAAACUGCCAUGGAUACUAUUGGUCUUGAAUGUUGUUGAGGUGGGCGGAACGGGUCAUGUAGCGGUGAAAUGCAUAGAUAUGGACCCGGAACACCGAUUGCGAAGGCAGCCCCACUAAGCAACCAUUGACGCUGAGGCACGAAAGCGUGGG
rnacentral:rRNA from 1 species